rnacentral:rRNA from 1 species
UACGGGGGGGGCAAGCGUUGUUCGGAAUUAUUGGGCGUAAAGGGUUCGUAGGUGGCCGGCUAAGUCAGACGUGAAAUCCCUCAGCUUAACUGGGGAACUGCGUCUGAAACUGAUCGGCUUGAGCUUACUAGAGGCAGAUGGAAUUCCGGGUGUAGCGGUGGAAUGCGUAGAGAUCCGGAAGAACACCGGUGGCGAAGGCGGUCUGCUGGGGUAAUGCUGACACUGAUGCGCGACAGCGUGGGGAGCAAACAGG